rnacentral:rRNA from 1 species
CCUACGGGAGGCAGCAGUGGGGAAUUUUCCGCAAUGGGCGAAAGCCUGACGGAGUAAGACCGCGUGAGGGAAGAAGGUCUGUGGAUUGUAAACCCCUUUUGAUUGGGAAGAUGAUGACGGUACCAAUCGAAUCAGCCUCGGCUAACUCCGUGCCAGCAGCCGCGGUAAUACGGAGGAGGCAAGCGUUAUCCGGAAUUAUUGGGCGUAAAGCGUCCGUAGGUGGAUAUUCGUGUCAGUUGUUAAAGGAUGCGGCUUAACCGCAUAAAGGCGAUUGAAACUGGAUGUCUAGAGUGCGAUAAGGGCAAGGGGAAUUCCCAGUGUAGCGGUGAAAUGCGUAGAUAUUGGGAAGAACACCGGUGGCGAAAGCGCCUUGCUGGGUCUGCACUGACACUGAGGGACGAAAGCUAGGGGAGCGAAAGGGAUUAGAUACCCCAGUAGUC